rnacentral:siRNA from 1 species
CAGUUUGUUGACCGGUGAUACCA